GAGAGGACGGUCCCCUGUGGUGCCCCUGUGUUGCUGAUCACCUUGUCAGACACACAAUGUGGAAGACGUACAUAUUGUGGUCUUCCUGUCAGGUAAUCAACAAUCCAGGACACCAGAGAAGCAUCCAGAAGCAUCACUGAGUGUUUCCCAGUCGGUCACCCUGUAGUUCCGCUAAGGCCUCCUCUGACCACCGCCUAAUGCUUCUGUCCUACCAAGUGGGGGGAGGGAGGAGGAGCUGUAUGCAUCCUUGACAUUAGCAUACAGUAGGUCUAAAAUUUUCUCUCCCCUGGUGGGACGGUCCACAUAUUGUCUGAAUGUUGUUAGUGUAUUGUCCAGUGAUACAUGGUUGAAGUCACCCGAGAUCACAAUAAAGGCACUCGGGUGCUGAGACUGUAACCGGGCUAUGGCAGAGUGAAUACUGUCACAUGCAGCUGUGAGGUUAGCAGAGGGAGGAACAUAAACAGCCACCAAGAUGACAUGAGUAAAUUCCCUGGGUAAAUAAUACGGCCUGAGUCCUACAGGACACAGUUCAGUGUCCGAGCAACAAAUCCUUUCUUUGAUUGUUAUGUUGGCAGGGUGACACCACCGGUUGUUAACAAAAACAGCAAGCCCACCUCCUUUCCGCUUACCGCUAGUGAUGGUGUCCCUGUCCACCCGAACAGUGUGGAAGUCUUCCACAGACGCGUUAGUGUUGGGAAUGUCCCGGUACAUCCAUGAUUCGGUGAAACACAUCAAGCUAAACUCCCGGUAUUCCCUCUGACUCCGUACCGGUGCUGAGAGCUCGUCGAUUUUAUUUGAUAACGAUCGCACAUUUCCCAUUACGAUAGACGGCAGACACGGUUUGUACAUCCUCCUCACUUCGAGCCUCUACUGUCUCACUGUCUCCUUCCUUCUCCUCUUCUGUCCCCCACCUCUGCAUCUGCGUCCAGGAUGUGUUUUCCUCCAGAUUUCAGCUGGUACAUCUGUGGAUGUGACCAAUGCGCCAGCCGGCAUCAGGGCGAUCAGCUAAACUUCUACAUUCUGAACCUUCUUCAGCUCUGAACAGAUGAUGAAACACUGAAUGAUUCCAAGCUCACACUUUGUCUAAUAAACUUACAUCUUUCAUUCUUUAUACAGAUUGAAGGACUGUGGUUUGUCAGAGAUCAGCUGUGAUUAUCUGGCAGCAGCACUGAAGUCCAACCCCUCCCAUCUGAGAGAGCUGGACCUGAGCAGGAACUACCUGAAGGAUCCAGAUGUGAAGCAGCUGUCUGAUCUUAAGGAGAGUCCAGACUACAGACUGGAGACUCUGGAGAGGAGGUGAUGAUGGUAAA